UGUGUGUGUGUGUGUGUGAGAUCAACUCCCACUGCUCAGAGGCAGCAUCUGGCAGGGACCUGCUGCCAUAUUCGUUUGAACUUGGAGCCCUUUCAAAUAUGUACCUCAUUAAAGCUGCUUCUGUAAUCAGAGCAGCUGUGUGAGGAGAGCAGAGGCGAUCUGACCCACCUGACCCGGCCGGACACUGACUGACCCAAUGUCUUUUCAUGGGAGCUUGUUUGAAAUAGUCAUUUUAUGAUUUUAUCAUAGUUUCUAAUAAUGAUGCAAAUGAUGGCAGUUGUGAACUGUUUAGUUGAAGUGACUUUGGCAGCAAUUACAGUGUCAAGUUUUUUUGCUUUGAUGAUGUUUGGAGGUUGUCUGCUCUUCUCUGCAGAUCCUCUGGAGGUCUGUGAGGGUGGAUGGGUGCCGUCAGUGGUCCUCCAUCUCCAGCUCUCUCCGGUGCUGUUUGACUGGGUUCAGCUCUGGCUGGUCACUCACAGGGUCUUCAGUGUCCCGUGGGAAGUUUUUUUAUCAGUUCUGAUUCCAGCUUUUCUUCUACCCUGAGCAGUCUUUAGGUCACUGCUGCUGUAGAACACCACCAGUUCAGGUGCUUUUCACUGAGGAGAGGACCUCUCUGGCCUCUCUUUUCAAGGAACUUAUCUGUGAGCUUAGUUUGAUCAGAUGUGACAGAACUGACCAAACAUCCUCCUUCCAUGGCUUCUGCUGCGGCUGUUUGAAGGUCAUCUCAGAGGUCAACAUGUUGUCGUGGCAACAAGCUGAUUUGCUUAAAGACGUUCUAGAAUGGAAUUACUGUCAAAGAAAGAGCGUCCUGUCAUUAAGAAACAUUAGACCGAUGCUUCAACAGCUUAUAUUAAUCACUGCACUGUGAUUCAAAAUCAUGUAAAAAGCACCAUUACUGAAUUAGACUAACUGAAACAUACCACAUAAUUACUGCUCAUGAUUGUGCCACAUCUCAGUUUCUUUAAAAGCUGAAUCGUGUUCUACUGAAGAUGCAUCUGGAGGAGAGCACAAACUGCAACUAGUGGAUUUAUUAUCUACACAUACAUCUACAACAAAGACUAUCAGCCCGCCGCUUCACAUUGCAUCCGGACGGGCUCUGAAUGACCUCGCUGACUUCACUUCAUACACUCCUGGAGCCCACCGCAGCACUGCUGGCCUUUUUCAGAGAGCUCACGCCAUCAUCUCCACAAUUUGUACCAUUCUUCUCCUUCUUCAUGGGUUUCCUGCACAUGAGAAUAAAACGAGAAGUCGUGUUCUAAUGAGAGAAAACACAGUUUUCGUAGCUGAACAUUCUGUCUCUCAUAAAUCAUCUCUCUACGCCUCUGGCUGUCAUCUGGGUUCUGCUCAGUUGUUCGUGUAAGACAUGGCCUAUUUCUAUCCUCCUUUCACUGAAUCUCUGUUCAUUGUGUUUGCGCAGCGUAUGUAAUGCAGGACUGGACUGAAUACAGACUUCUGAAGCUUUGUUCUGAGCAGGACUGUACUCUGCUCCCUGAAGGUGCAUUAGAAGCCAUCAGAGAGUCCUGCACCAAACACAUGACCAUCCAGCACAACGUUACAUAAACAGUAGUGUGCUUUCAUUAGAUAAAAUGUCCUUUCCUUGGGCUAACGCUAAUUAAAACACGGUCUGUGGGUUAGAACAGCAGGGAUUGACGGUGAACAAGAAUAUUUAUAAUAACUGCACACUACAAAUCAUGCUCCAAUAUUAUCAGGCAUUAGUGAGCUGUAUAUAAACACAGCUGUAAUGUUUUGUUCAUGUUUAGUAAUUGUACUUUCAUACGUUACUAGUAAAUUACUACGUUAUUUACAAACCAGUUAUGUAAGAGUUGAGAAGAUCAUUUAGAAAAUGCUUUAUUAACACAUAUUUCCACUGCAAUUCAUCAAGUCAGGGAGUUAUAAAACAUUUAGAAAUUGCCAGACAUCUGUUUUUCUGAUUUCAUCUGAAGUGAGGACUAUUUCUAACUCAUGAAGCAUUUACAAGGAUAUUUAGAGGCUCAUUUAUCUUCCAAACAGACCCAACACAAGAGGAAUACUGAACACACUAAUAUUUGUUCUAGAUGCAAAAAAUGCAACUGUACAACUAUACACUUGAUACAAAAUGAAAAAUAAUGUAAUGUCAUAGAAAAAUUAAAAAUUUAAUUUCAAGUGUACAGUUUCAGUUUUUGCAUCUUUAAAAAAAUAUUUCUGAGUUCUGUAACCCGGUGUUGUGUUUGAUUACUAGGCCUUUAAACCUACUUUGUAACAGAUAUAAAUACAUGCUUAUAAAUCAAGAACAAUGCAUUUAUAGCAUUCACAUGUUCUACUAACAGCAAGUAACUACAUGUCAACUAGCAGUCAUUAGAGGAUUAGUAGACUGUCUGGUCAAUAUCAACAUACUACAUACUGACUUUCAGAAACUUAUUCUACUAACAUUAAACCUAAUGAUAUAACACAGGAUAUAAUUUUGAGCAAUUUUGCCAGGUCACUUUUUUGGUCAGUGUUGUUUGGACACUUUCACCAUUGAGAAGAGGCAACAGACUCCUGUCUGGAUAUCUAUGGGCCCUGUGUCUCAUUAUUUCCCAAAACUGCCCGGCAACAUUGCUCAAAAAGAUGCCCAGUGCAUCAUCAGCCUCAAAGUGCUGGUAGCCAUCCACUUGCAUUUUAUAAAUCAAAAACUGAAAAUCUUCUUUAUUGUUCUACAAAAGACAAAAAGUCGCCUACAUGAGUAACACCUACAUUUUCGGUGGCCUUAGAGAAAUUAAAUAAACUAUUCUUUUAAUUGAGAGAUAAAUAUUUGUGCUUUUCAAAUUCAUCGCACCGCAGUGAAGGUGUAAUCAUCAUCAAAACAAAUCAUCACCCCAUGAUUCUCGAGCUUUCCUUCAAAGUGUGGAACAGUAAUAAAAAUACAUUGGGAAACUUAUUGCAGUGCUUGAUGAUCAGAGCCGCGUGGCUUCACAUCGCUCCUGAAUCAGUCACAUUACACUGAUCCUGGACGACCCACGGCUUCGCUGGCACCCAGCCUCCUCAAUAAUAGAUGUGGCAGGUGGUGACACAACACUUCACAGAGGUAAUCAAUUUUUGAUAUGAAAGCUGUUCGAGUGCAGUGCCCGGCCGUGUUUGAAGUCUGCUGGAGGACGCUCACGCUGGAAGGAUUCAGUCAGAUUCUGCUGCUGGGUCUGGCUUUUAGUUUAUUGUCUUUAUUUUCAGUAUCAUUUAUGUCUGUGUCAUUUUUAAUCCAUGUUGUGUCUCAACGAUCUUGUGAUUCUGUCCCUGGUUCAACAUUUUGAUUUCGAUUAUUAUUUUUGUUUUCAUGUGAAAAUAAAUUGUAAAUGAAAAGUGUGUGAGAGACCCUAUAUGUAUUAAAGGUGACAUAUCAUGAAAAUCUGACUUUUUCAGGUUUUAAGAGUUAUGACCAGAUCCCAGUGCAUCGAUCAACGAGGGAAACGUAAAAAGGAGUAAUCACGUAACUUUAGUGAGGCUUUUUCUGCACCUUAGUCUGUAAGUUUCCAUCUGCUGCGCCGUCAUUUUGAUUUCACAAACACCGGUUCUAAUGCCACGGAGAAAGUUUGUGUUCAGAGACGAGUCCCAGUCUCAGACGAGACGAGAGAGCAGUGGAUUUAUUGUUUAUUUACUGUAUAUUGUUGCUGCCACACAGAUCUGAAAUAAACGUGAUUUCUUUCCAACCGAA